rnacentral:rRNA from 1 species
AGAGUUUGAUCCUGGCUCAGGAUGAACGCUAGCGAUAGGCCUAACACAUGCAAGUCGAGGGGCAGCAUAGAGUAGCAAUACUUUGAUGGCGACCGGCGCACGGGUGAGUAACACGUAUGCAACCUACCUACAUCAGGGGAAUAACCCGGAGAAAUUCGGACCAAUACCGCAUAAUACAGGGAUGCCGCAUGGCAAUAUUUGUUAAAGAUUUAUCGGAUGUAGAUGGGCAUGCGUUCCAUUAGCUAGUUGGUAAGGUAACGGCUUACCAAGGCAACGAUGGAUAGGGGAACUGAGAGGUUUGUCCCCCACACUGGAACUGAGACACGGACCAGACUCCUACGGGAGGCAGCAGUGAGGAAUAUUGGUCAAUGGACGAGAGUCUGAACCAGCCAAAUCGCGUGAAGGAAGACUGCCCUACGGGUUGUAAACUUCUUUUGUACAGGAAUAAAAGACAUUACGUGUAAUGUAUUGCAUGUACUGUACGAAUAAGCAUCGGCUAACUCCGUGCCAGCAGCCGCGGUAAUACGGAGGAUGCGAGCGUUAUCCGGAUUUAUUGGGUUUAAAGGGUGCGCAGGCGGGAUUUUAAGUCAGCGGUGAAAUUUUCAGGCUCAACCUGAACACUGCCGUUGAAACUGGGAUUCUUGAGUAUGGAUGAAGUAGGCGGAAUUCGUUGUGUAGCGGUGACAUGCUUAGAUAUAACGAGGAACUCCGAUUGCGUAGGCAGCUUACUAAGCCAUAACUGACGCUCAAGCACGAAAGCGUGGGGAUCAAACAGGAUUAGAUACCCUGGUAGUCG